rnacentral:rRNA from 1 species
UGCGUAGGGGGCAAGCGUUGUCCGGAUUUAUUGGGCGUAAAGGGCGCGUAGGCGGCCACCGCAAGUCGACUGUGAAAUCUCCGGGCUUAACCCGGAACGGUCAGCCGAUACUGCGGGGCUAGAGUGCAGAAGGGGCAACUGGAAUUCUCGGUGUAGCGGUGAAAUGCGUAGAUAUCGAGAGGAACACCUGCGGCGAAGGCGGGUUGCUGGGCUGACACUGACGCUGAGGCGCGAAAGCUAGGGGAGCGAACGGG